AAAAAUUUGUUGCACACUUUUCAGUUUUCAAUAUGGCUAUGUGGAAGGGAUCCAUCACUUUGUUUUCCAUGGUUUGUUUGAUGCUUAUCACAAUAGGCUUGCAGAGUGUGGAAGGUUCGGUCUUGUUUGGUGAACCAUGCACAACAUUUAGGGAUUGCUUUAAUUCUUGCGGUCAUGGCGCAAUCCCCUUUUGCCAGAAUGGACAUUGCAGUUGCGAUAAACAGGAGGAGACUAUGAGCAUUUCUUCAACUGGAACUAUUAGAAAACUUUUACAGAAUAAUUAAGACUCUGUAAUUAUACACAGGAAUAAUUGGUUUAUUGAAAUUUUCAGAGUGAUAAUGAUGAAGAUUUCUCUUCAAUUUCA